AGCAGCCGCGGUAAUUCCAGCUCCAAUAGCGUAUAUUAAAGUUGUUGCAGUUAAAAAGCUCGUAGUUGAAUUUCGGGGUUAGUAGGUUGGUCAUGCCUCUGGUAUGUACUGGUCUCACUGAUUCCUCCUUCCUGAUGAGCCGUAAUGCCAUUAAUUUGGUGUUGCGGGGAAUUUGGACUGUUACUUUGAAAAAAUUAGAGUGUUUAAAGCAAGCUAACGCUUGAAUACAUUAGCAUGGAAUAAUGAAAUAGGACGUUCGAUCCUAUUUUGUUGGUUUCUAGGAUUGACGUAAUGAUUAAUAGGGAUAGUUGGGGGCAUUAGUAUUCAAUUGUCAGAGGUGAAAUUCUUGGAUUUAUUGAAGACUAACUACUGCGAAAGCAUUUGCCAAGGAUGUUUUCAUUAAUCAAGAACGAAAGUUAGGGGAUCGAAGACGAUCAGAUACCGUCGUAGUCUAACCAUAAACUAUGCCGACUAGGGAUCGGAUGAUGUUAAUUUUUUAAUGACUCAUUCGGCGCCUUAC
rnacentral:misc_RNA from 1 species